CCGGCGGCCAAUGGCCCCUGAAGAGAACCGGAGAUUGAAUGAGGCGAUGGAGAAGGUGGCAAAGACCUUCGACUCGUACUUGCAAGUCGUUGCGGGUGUUCCUGAUCUACCGUUGGCAAAGUUCAUCGAUCUUGUGGAAUCAUUGCCUGAAAUAGCACGGAAGGAUCAUGAUGGGAUCUAUCAGGCCAUUGAUACUUACCUCAAGGUGAUACAUCCAACUUCUUAAAAUGUAGCACUUUACAUCCAAGCUAAUCUAAAGUUUUCAACUAAGUUCUUCAUCAGGAUCACACUGAUAUAAAUAAAGUAAAACCUAAAACCUAAACAACUGUAAGUUUUAUUGAAGAAAUAUGAUUAGCUAACUACCAAGCAGAAGAGAGUAGCACAUACAUAAUGUUGCCAACAAAUUACCUUGGAAGUGAAAAGUUAAAAAAUAAGAGUAUGUAAUAGCUUACCUGAUCAUAGCCUCCUUAUGAACCUAGCUGUUGCACUGAUACUGUCAGGAGCACUCAGAGCUGGGCAAGGAAGAGAAAAAGAGCCUCUGCCGGAUGAUUGACUGUCGAAAACUGUCGCCAGAGAUACGCGCACAAGCUGUAACCAAUGA
rnacentral:lncRNA from 1 species